rnacentral:lncRNA from 1 species
UUUAAAAUUUAAGGAUUUCACUGAUGAAAUAAUAGUACAUUCUUAAUGAAUUUUUUAUGCUAAAACAGAUUAGAGGCUUCUUACUGAAAGGGCAAAUAGAUGCAAGAGUUCUCUGCCUUCUGUGUUGUUUGGGCGAAUUGUCAGGAGUAAAAGAAGAGUUUAGUGUCAAAGGGGUAUAGCUUCUGGAUGGUCAUAUAAAUUGAACAGAGGAUAAGUGGAGCCCUUUUUUCAUCUCUUCCAAAAUAUGAAACAUUGCACUGAUCUCGGUGGAAAUAAAUGCCAAAGAGCUCCCCAGGAAGAACCUUUAAGCUUGGGACUUGAUUUCCCAACCUCGCAUACUGUUUGCAAUUACAGAAUAUAUGGCAUACAUGGAGGACUUUCUUAAUCUGAGUUUUAUGGAGUAUGGAUUAUACCUUUCUAAUGUUCUAAUGUGUGGAUCUGAAGUUCAGUUCUUAACAACAACAAAAAGUCUCUUAUUGGUGAUGCUGAGAUUUCUUUUUUUCCUGAGUCUUGUUCUCUAGAACCAAAUCUGCGGUUGACUGUGGCACUGAUUUAAAACACUUUAUACAAAUCCCAAACCCUGAAGCAUACUGUGGAGUGAGCUACUAAGCCAGCGUCAACAAGAAGACUAGAAUUAAGAAACUCCUUCCUGAAGACUUUUUUUUUCAAAAAAAUAAUCUUAACAUUUCAAGUUUCCUCAACUAAAUUUAUUCUGUAUUUUGCCACAUCUGCAGCAGCUGAGAUCUACUUUCCAAGAGUGGUUUCUUGCGAAAGGAAAAACCUACUUUUACUACCUCGAAAUGAACACCUACCACAAAAUGAGCACACACACGGAAGCAACUAACACAACUUAUCCAACAGAACAUCACUGUUUGAAUAAGCCCAUUCUCCACUUCCUGAUACAUUCUGCGAUGGAAAUUCUUAAUUCCUGGAAUCAUAUGACAUUAAAGGCAGGAAUCACAUUGCUUCUGCCUGUUUUAUAUCUAGAUCAAAAGGUAAGGCCAAGAGAUUGUACAAAACAAAUAAGCACUUUACAGGUAAUACAUGAUAUAUAUCAAAUAUAAAGACUAGGCAUAGC